ACAGAAAUAAAUAAACAGAGAAAAUGUUUUUAAGCACACGCUUGACGAAAUACCACUAUUUUAUUUAAAUGUUGGAGGGGUAAAGCAUGACUCGGAGAGAAGAGCCAAAAGUUUUAGCAGGCAAGUUGUGAACGAAGCGAGCACGAACAGCACCGGAGUUUCCAUGAGGACGAGCAAUGGUACUAAAACGAUAAGUUAGCAAAAUAGAACGAAGAAAUAACUCAUAAAAACAAGAAAAAUUAUAGAAAUAACAAAAUAAAUUAUAUAUUUUGUUUGAAAAUCAAUCAAAUGAAAGUGGAAAAACUUCAACCGGUACAGACAAUGAUCAACUCCUUUUCUCUUUGCUUUUCUUGUAAUAUAAAUUUCACUUACCCCCAGAUAACACGAAUCUUGGAUCCACGGACGGCCUUG